UUAGCACUUUCACAGGUCCUCCUCCAGGCAGUGGGGCCAGGAUUUGGUAGCUGGUGCUGAGAGAAAACCCCCUGGAUUGCAUCCUUGCCCUGGCACUGUGCCAGCGGCAUCUGUCACUCAGUGGGACAAAG
ensembl:snoRNA